CGUGUAGGCGGUGUGGUAAGUCGGAUGUGAAAUCUCCAGGCUCAACCUGGAAACUGCAUUCGAAACUGCCAUGCUUGAGUACCGGAGAGGGAAACGGAAUUCCUGGUGUAGGGGUGAAAUCUGUAGAUAUCAGGAAGAACACCGGUGGCGAAGGCGGUUUCCUGGCCGGAUACUGACGCUGAGGCGCGAAAGCUAGGGGAGCAAACA
rnacentral:rRNA from 1 species